GACGAACGCUGGCGGCGUGCUUAACACAUGCAAGUCGAACGGAAAGGCCCUGCUUUUGUGGGGUGCUCGAGUGGCGAACGGGUGAGUAACACGUGAGUAACCUGCCCUUGACUUUGGGAUAACUUCAGGAAACUGGGGCUAAUACCGGAUAGGAGCUCCUGCUGCAUGGUGGGGGUUGGAAAGUUUCGGCGGUUGGGGAUGGACUCGCGGCUUAUCAGCUUGUUGGUGGGGUAGUGGCUUACCAAGGCUUUGACGGGUAGCGGGCCUGAGAGGGUGACCGGCCACAUUGGGACUGAGAUACGGCCUAGACUCCUACGGGAGGCAGCAGUGGGGAAUAUUGCACAAUGGGCGGAAGCCUGAUGCAGCAACGCCGCGUGCGGGAUGACGGCCUUCGGGUUGUAAACCGCUUUCGCCUGUGACGAAGCGUGAGUGACGGUAAUGGGUAAAGAAGCACCGGCUAACUACGUG
rnacentral:rRNA from 1 species